ensembl:lncRNA LINC00364 long intergenic non-protein coding RNA 364
GUAAAAGAUGUGAGUUCUAUGAUUAGGAGCUCAUUGUCACACCUCUUUUGCCACAAAAUUGAUCCUCUGUUAUGACGUAAUGAAGUAUAGAACCCUAUGCCAUUAAAUCAGGGAUUCUCUUUGUCCUAAGAUAGUAAUGCUUGCAGAGGCACUGCAGCAGGCAAAGAAGAUAAACCCCUAUCUGAGACUCCAGUUUCUUCAGCUUUGGCCCUCUUGGGCCUUCGAACACAGACUGAAGACUGCGCUGUUGGCUUCACGACUUUGGAGGUUUUGGAACUCCAACUGGCUUCCUUGUUCUUCAGCUUGCAGACGGCCUACUGUGGGACGUCACCUUGAGAUCGUUGAUAUGGACAGGAGACGGAAAUACUGGGUAGAAAAGGGCAGUUCCCUGGCAAAGCCUCACCCUCAAGCCUGGAUACCUGCUGUCUUAAACGAAAACGAAAACAGGCAUUUCUGUGUUCAUGCUCCAAAAGUUAUCUUUUGGCCUGCCACACCCCCUAUCCUGCACCCAUAUGAAUCCCGAACCCCAGACUCCAGAAGCAGACCAGCAAGCCCGCAGACCAGCAGAAGGAUGGCAGAACGAUGUGGCAGAGAAAGGGAGAAGAGGAGGAACAUCUGAAUGCCAAAAUGAGUUCAGCUGGGGGCAGUCAGAGAGGAGUCCAGCCACUGGGCAGCCAGAAUCCAGGGGAGGAUCACCUUUCCACUUCAUCCCCUUCCUCUGCCUCCCCAUCCAUCCUGCUGAAAGCCACCUCCACCACUCAAUAAAACCUGCCAUUCAUCCUUGGA